rnacentral:rRNA from 1 species
AUUGAACGCUGGCGGCAGGCCUAACACAUGCAAGUCGAGCGAGCGGCGGACGGGUGAGUAAUGUCUGGGAAACUGCCUGAUGGAGGGGGAUAACUACUGGAAACGGUAGCUAAUACCGCAUACCCUCAGAUGUGCCCCGAUGGGAUUAGCUCGUAGGUGGGGUAAAGGCUCACCUCGGCGACGAUCCCUAGCUGGUCUGAGAGGAUGACCAGCCACACUGGAACUGAGACACGGUCCAGACUCCUACGGGAGGAAGCAGUGGGGAAUAUUGCACAAUGGGCGCAAGCCUGAUGCAGCCAUGCCGCGUGUGUGAAGAAGGCCUUCGGGUUGUAAAGCACUUUCAGCGGGGAGGCGUUACCCGCAGAAGAAGCACCGGCUAACUCCGUGCCAGCCGCCGCGGUAAUAC